rnacentral:rRNA from 1 species
AUCCACAGCUACACCACCCAUCUGCGCUUCAAUCCUGUCUGAUCUCAGACUCUAAGCAGGGUUGGGACGGGUUGCUACUUAGGUAGGGAAUCCUUUGGCUUGGCCAGACUUGGUGAUGC